rnacentral:rRNA from 1 species
UGGGAAUUUUGGACAAUGGGCGCAAGCCUGAUCCAGCCAUGCCGCGUGCGGGAAGAAGGCCUUCGGGUUGUAAACCGCUUUUGUCAGGGAAGAAAUCUUCUGAGUUAAUACCUCGGGAGGAUGACGGUACCUGAAGAAUAAGCACCGGCUAACUACGUGCCAGCAGCCGCGGUAAUACGUAGGGUGCAAGCGUUAAUCGGAAUUACUGGGCGUAAAGCGUGCGCAGGCGGUUUUGUAAGACAGAGGUGAAAUCCCCGGGCUCAACCUGGGAACUGCCUUUGUGACUGCAAGGCUUGAGUGCGGCAGAGGGGGAUGGAAUUCCGCGUGUAGCAGUGAAAUGCGUAGAUAUGCGGAGGAGCACCGAUGGCGAAGGCAAUCCCCUGGGCCUGCACUGACGCUCAUGCACGAAAAGCGUGGGGAGCAAAACAGGAUUAGAUACCCUGGUAGUCCACGCCCUAAAACGAUGUCAACUGGUUGUUGGGAAGGUUCCUUCUCAGUAACGUAGCUAACGCGUGAAAGUUGACCGCCUGGGGAGUACGGCCGCAAAGGUUGAAAACUCAAAAGGAAUUGACGGGGUCAUAGCUGUUUCC